CUAUCAAUAAAUUAAAUAAACUACAAAUAUCUAAACUAAAAUACAAUAAAAUAAUCUAAAAUAAAUUACAAAAAAAACCAAACACUAAUUUACAAAAAAUAAAAAAAUAUAUUACAAGAUUUUUAAGCUAAUUACACCUAUUCUAAGCCCCUAAUAAAAUAAUAAAGCCCCCCAAAAUAAAAAAAUUUCCCUGCCCUAUUCUAAAUUAAAAAAGUUCAAAGCUCUUUUACCUUACCAGCCCUUAAAAGGGCUUUUUGCGGGGCAUGCCCCAAAGAAAACUGCUCUUUUGCCUGUAAAGAUAAACACAAUACCACCCCCCAACAUUACAACCCACCACCCACAUACCCCUAUUCUAAACCCACCCAAACCCCCCUUAAAUAAACCUAACACUACCCCCCUGAAGAUCUCCCUACCUUGUCUUCACCCAGCCGAGCAGAACUCUUCAUCCGAUCCGGGCGAUGUCUUCAAUCAAGCUGCAGAGAAGUCUUCUUCCAUCCGGUGAUGUCUUCAAGCAAAGCGGCAUCUUCAAUCUUCUUUCUUCGCUCCUCCGCCGCGGAGCAUCCAUCCGGCACGACGACUUCCCGACGAAUGAGGUAAUUAACAAGAUGAGGAAGAGUGGUGAACGUGACUUGACAUUCACUUUAAUCUUUACACCAUCUGGAGACAAAAACCUUCAAGUAAUCCUCUGCACUGUUUGUGCAUAAUCAAGGCGACAACCAUCACAGCCUGUUUGGGAAGUUAAUACCCCAAAUUUCUGCACAAAGUUUUUACCUAACACCACCAAGAGACUUUAAUUCACCAGUACAAACACUGGUUUGUUUUUGUGCUAAAAUAAAGGAGAUUUUAUUUGCACUAA